rnacentral:lncRNA from 1 species
AUUUUAUUUAAAUAAAAUUAACUAUUAAAUUAUUUUUAUAUAACUUUUAUUUAAUUAAUAAUUAGACUUAUAAAAUUAUUUAAAAAUAUAAAAAACUAAAAUUUAUUAAAAAAAAAUUUUAAUCCGCAGCAUCGCGCGGGUAUUUCACUAGUAUAAUAUAUAAUAGGGAUAAUAAUUGCCAAUAUACCUCUUAAAAUUUCCAAAACAUCUUAUUUAUUUCUAUUUUUUUCCUCCAGUAUAUCCUCAUAUGUUCCUUCGUUAUUCCAAAAUACUCAUGCAGUUACCACCCUUUAAAUUAAUUUGGGUUAAACGUGAGUUAAAUGUCCAUCAUAGUUAAAAAAAAUUAAAAUAUCAUAUUUGCCCUUAACUUUAAAGGCAAAUAAAAAAUGUUGGUGAUGAUAGAAAAGUAUAUUUGAAAAGAUCAAAAAGCAAAAUACUUUUUGUACCCCUAACUUAAGGACAAAUAAGAAAAAUCGGUGAUGGUAGAAGGGUAUAUUUGAAAAGGUAGAAUAAUAAUUUCAUAGAGAUAAUAGAGUUCAUUAACAAAUUUUAACUAUAGGGGUAUAUUAGAAAUAGAUUGGAACGUAAAAUGGGUAUUUUCAAUAUUAGCCAUCUAAGAGAGGCAAAUCAAAAAGUUUGAAACUUUUCAGGGGUAUAAAAACAAUUGCCCCUAUAUAAUAAACAAUAU